UACAAAUUUUUCUUGCUGACAUUUGCUUUAGAGCAGCUGUGGUAAUUAUAGUUGGUUAAAUGUGUACCACAUCACCAGAUAUUGGUGUAUUUGCCAGACCAUGAUUGACCUGUAUUUUAGCUAGAAAUUCUGAAAUAAUGAUGGAAUUGCUUGGAAGGUUCCUAAUAUAAACUUUAUCCAAAAAGCAUCACUGUUAUGUAGUGUUCCAAACUUGUUUUUGAUAAAGGGCCAAUGUGUUUUAUAUUUGUCAAUAAUUUUUCAUUGUUGUUUUUUGUUGUUGUUUUCUGUUUUAUCAUUUACGGGACAUAUUUAUUUGAUCAAAAAAUUAUAUUCACUAAGAUCUGUCAUUAAAAUGUGAAGUUUGUAUGAAGAGAAGUGGAAGAUUACUAGGGAGUUUUAUAACUCACAAUAAAUGUUACCUUUGCAUGUAGUCAUUCACAUGUUUCACAAUAAAGAAUUUCUGUAUAUAGGAGU
rnacentral:misc_RNA from 1 species